rnacentral:lncRNA from 1 species
UCCAAAUCCUGCAGAUAGUAGCAGCACAGAAAGACCAGCACCAUAGCACUGCACCUUCUCUGCACUCUGAAAGUCCCUCUCCAAGGUGCCGCCUCCCACCGCCCUCUGACACAGAGUCUCAGAACAUGAGAUGCUGGCCUGGCAGUGAUGAUUGUGAAUCUUUGCUAAGACCUGUCAUCAUCCUCAGCACUCUGCCAAAACCUACUGCCAAGCCCUUAAACGGACAGCAGGACAAAGAGAGCAAGCCCUGUCCAGUGGUGGCCUGGAGAUGUGCGUGCAGAACCUGUUCUGUUGGGUCCCCAAAUGAAGAGGCAGGGAGGCGGCCCAGCCAGGCCCAGCUCACCCCAGCUAGCAGGGAAAAUCAGUCAUGCCAUCACGGGAGGGGCCACUGCAUUUUGCAAAUAGUGUUUCGCCAGGCAUCCUGGGUGCUUACUGGGGGCCAAGAAGGGGGCCUGUCUGCACCAAAAACAAGGGUAUCCCUGUGGAGGAGCCCGUCCAACAGAGCCUCUGCAGGGCAGCAAGGAAAGAAGCCAGGCACCUCCACCCCCUCCCUACCUGUCCAGACAUGGGAGGCAGCAGAAAGGACCCUCGGGGUCCAAGGCGCCAGAGCUGGUGGGUGGGCAGCUCAGGAAGAGAAGCACUUCCCAAAGUAAAGAGGCACCAUCUCUUCUGCAUCUUUCUGUGGGUUCUCACCCAGGCUCCUCAUGCACCCCCAGAGCCCUGCAAUGUGGGCAGAUUUGGGGGUGGACUCAUAUGGCUGUAUUUUUCCUGUGGAGAGAGUUGCUAGCUUUUACAAUAUUCUUAUUCCUCGGCCCACGAUACGGCAAUGACAUGGACACAUGGAACUCUUUCCAUGCCUUCCCAGGUCCCGCGUCCCUGUGAUGAGAAUGGAGGGAGGAGAGAGAGCUAGGCUUUGCCCCCGAUAAAUAAGGAGGCUCCAAAGGCCUAUGUCCAUGUCCACUUCUUACUUCUCAAGCCUGUCUAACUCCUCCUCAUCUUGGGUGCCUCUUUCUCCAGGAAGCUCUCCAUGAGUACUUCCCCCCAUUGAGUCACACUGUGUAGCAGUUGCCUUCUCAAUUGUCUGUUUCCCCCACUAGACCUCAGAUCCCACUGAAGCAAUGGGCUCUAUCUGUCAGGUUCAGCCCCUUGCCGGGGACCUGGCACAUGGUGGCAACCAGUCGUUCCCAAAUGAGUGAAUGAUUGAAAGGAUAAUCAUAGUCCUAAAUUAGGUGGCUCUCAAAAGGCCCACAUCUGAGGAGGUUCUACAUUUUAUUUUUUAAGGAACCAGAGAUAGAAGGAAACUUGGAGUUACAUGUUCCCUCCAGCAAGGUGAGGGAAGAAGCCAGAAUCCCCAGGGGAAACAAACAGGGCAAGGGCCCAGGACCUCGAGAUUCCUUCUGCAGAAUAAAGAAAGGGCAGGGGACAAUGACCACAAGGGGCUCUGAGAGGUGGAGGGAGGCCCAGGACUCUUCUGUUUUCUGAGGCCCCUGGCAUGCACAGAAAUGAAGAAAUGUGACAAUGGCCUUACAAAAAUGAUGGUCCAUCCUAAACACCCACCUUUAAUAACCAGAGGUGUCUGGGUCUGUCAUGUACCUUGUCAGGGAGACUCCCUCAUUGUACAUGUGAUCUGAUUUGGAGGUUAUGUCCAAAGUCUAAAUGUGUGGCCCUUUGUGAUUUGGGACCUGGGGCCUACGACCUUCUCCAUACAUGCCCUGCACAUCAUCACCAGCCCCGAGCUGGGAUACUGCUGGGUUAUUCCUUUUUACCAUCCACGUGCAAGGUGCAGGCCGUGCUCAGAGCAUCUCAAGCUCAGAAGAGUUCUGACGCCUAGCUCGAGGUGGCCCAGCUUCCUGAGGACUGCAGGGCUGAGGCUGCAUGGCCAACUGGCUACCCCAAGGAAAGCAGGUACCUGAGCCCACAGGGCACUUUAGUGUGGGGCUCAAGAGUGGCCACACUCCCUUGCUGCCUCUGGGUUUCCCUCCUCGCCACUCACUCCAUGAAUAAUGCCAAAAAGUGGCCACACUCCCUUGCUGCUUCUGGGUUUCCCUCCUCGCCACUCACUCCAUGAAUAAUGCCAAUAAGUGGUGCUUCUCCAGAUGGGGGCCGUGAGGAGGGCUGAGGCUGAGCUGCCAACUCUAAACCAGAUGGCUGCUCGAGGACCCUGGCCUGGCCAGCAGACUGGCGCCACCACCUGGUGGGGAGCAGGACUGGCAUGCUCCUUUCCAUCUGCCUCCUCCACCCAAGUCUCCAGAGCCCUUGCGGUGUUCCCUGACCUCUGGGAGGGAUGUGAGAGUGACAGAGAUUUGAGGCACAAUGUCCACCACAGAAUCUAUCACCUAGUAGUUGGGGAAAGCUGUCAGGCAAAGGAGCACAAAGGUGAACAAGAUGAAACACCAGCCAGCAAAGGAUCAGCUUAUGUGCAAACUAGCUUGCUGACCCAGGGAGGAGGCAGGGAGAGGCAGAUGGGAGGGCCUGGCUCAGCCUCCAGCAGAAGGGUGCCUCUAAGACAGGAGGUUAGUGUAUGCAUGGGCUUCGGGGGCUGGACAAGCUAGGUCUGAAUCUCAGCUUCUCCAUAAGCCAGGCAAGUGACCUCUGGCAAGUUACUGUUCUUCUCUGAGUGCAAUUCCUAAAUCUGCAAAAGAGGGUUAAGAACACUUGCACUGCUCUGCUGUUAUUACAAUUAAACUAAAUAAUGGAUGUGGAGCGCCUGACACAGUGCUCAGACUAGAAUCUGUCUUGAGAAGCAAUCUGUUAAUAAUAGGAAACCAAGGUUCAAGAGUGAUUACUUUAAAAAAUAUAAGUUAGAACAGAUUCAAGUUUAUCCAAUAAGAACAUCCCUCUUGGGUUCUUACUCAUUUUCUUGAGUAGUGGAGAAAAGAGUAGAGUGGCCACCAGCUGAGGAGGAGACUCAGUGUCUUUCACCAUUGAUUUUACUUAAGCUUCAGCCAUGGAGAGACCCUGCAAAAUGUCCUCAGGAGCUGCAGAGGCAGCAAGGAAUAGAUGUUAGUGCUGAUGGCUUGGGAGAUGCACUCACUGUUCUAUGUUCUUCAGGUGCUCUAACUCCUUAAUCCUCACAGCACCCCCCAUGAGCAGGUGCUAUAAUUGUCCCUAUCUUAGAGAUGAGGAAGAGAGGGCACCCAGAAGUUGGGGGGCCAGCCCAAGCUUACACUGCUUCUAUGUAGCCAACCUGGGACUGCAGCCGGGCACUCUGGCCCCAGAACCUCUCUACUCCCAACCACUAGCCACGAGCUGCCUAUGAUCUGGGAACUAUGUUGAUCCCCAUUCCUCAAAUAAGAAAACUGCUGUUCAGAGACAUUGAGGGCUUUUGCAAGGUCACACAGUAGUCAUUGGCAGAGCUAGGAUGGUCAUGGUUUUAGCUGUGAUUUUUAGUCAAUUGAGUUUCCUAUUUAAUUCUUUUUUUUUUUAAUGGAUGCACCUGAGGCAUACAAAAGUUUCUGGGCCAGGGAAUGAAUCCAAGCUGCAACUGCAAUCCAAGCUGCAGCUGUGGCAAUGCCGGAUCCUAUUUUUUAAUUAUUUUUUUGCCUUUUGUCUUUUUAGGGUCACACCCAAGGCAUAUGGAGGUUCCCAGGGUAGGAGUUGAAUCAGAGCUGUAGCCAAUGACCUACACCAGAGCCACAGCAAUGCCAGAUCAGAGAUGCAUCUGCGACCUACACCAAAGUUCACCGCAACACCGGAUCCUUAACCUACUGAGCAAGGCCAGGGAUGGAACCCGCAACCUCAUGGUUCCUAGUCGGAUUCCUUUCUGCAGUGCCACUAUGGGAACUCCUGCAGUGCCAGAUCCUUUAACCCACUGUGCUGGACUGUGGAUUGAACCCACACCUCUGCAACAAUCCAAGAUGCUGCAGUCAGAUUCUUAACCUGCUGAGCCAUGGCAGAAACUCUAAGUUUCCUAUUUAAUUCAACUUGGGAUCCAGAAAGCAAAAGCCAGCCCCUCUCCAGUAAUAGGAACUGUAAAAGGUGAGCUGAGGGCCCUGUUAGCAGCCACAUUUCCUAUGCACGAUGUGGCAGAAGCUGGUCUAUGGUGAGAGACAGUGAAAGCACCACAUAGACAGAAGCAAAGAUGAGACUCUGCCAGCAGAUUGAAGCCCUUGUUCCAGCCAUUCCUAAAAUCCAGCUGCACCCUCCCCAUUUCGAAGAUUUGGUUGUUCAAAUUUAGGACUUGAUUCCAAGAGCCAAUAAAGCUUCUCUGUGUCUCCAGGUUGUUAUAAGCUGGGUGUCAGUCAUUUGCAACCAAAGUGGGUUCUGGCAGAAAAGGCAGAAUGCAGAAACAAGAGGCCGAAACCAGAAGACUGGGGGACCAGGACGAAUGACAGAGGCAUAGAGAACACAAAAGAGGCAGUCAGAGCACCAAAGAGCACAAAGCCAGAAGGGCCGUUAGCCCAUCUUCCCAAACCCCACUGCUGUCCGGUUCCCGAGCUGGAUUCUUCAGCCCCCAGACUGCCCGAAACAGCCAUGAAAACAUCGUGAACUGGAGCUUUUGAAGAGUUCCUGUUCCAAAUGUAUGUGAGCUUCACAGCCUUUCUGAAUUCUAUGUGUAGACAUUCACUUAUUCAAUUUCCCCUUAGAAGAGGCAUACUUCCAAUAAAUCUUCACACUAGAGAGAAACCUCCCCCCCUGCAUCCUUCAGAACCCCUGUGUGCUCUCCCUAAAUAUCGUUCCUCUUGCCCCGCUCUCUGCUGCACCAGCCCGGCAGGGGCUUCUGGGAAGGCAGAUGGUCCUAGCUCAGAGCUGACCCCAGCCCAGCCCUUGGGAAGGCAGGGCUGUUGAUGAGCCAGCAGGGUGUGUGCUGACGCAGCCGGCCCAGAUUACCAAGAUGGAGAUGGGUCCAUGGCAUCGCUCACGAUCCAACAGGCGGCACUCCACGCAGCCCGCCCAAAGCUGCUGUUAGUCACGCAUGCAUUUUAAUUUAGCUACAGAAGAGGGAUGAGCAAAGAGUGCCGAGUAAUCCUCUCCCUUAGAGAGAGAAAAAUGGGACCUAGGGAAGUCACACAACUUCCCUAAGGUCCCUGGCCUGUCAACAAAGAAGCGCUCACUGGGGCAGGCUUCCUGGGGCUCCUGCUGAUUCCAGUCCAAGCAGCACUUUUGUCAUUUUUGGCUGGGAUCAGAACCGAGUCACACUCCCCACCUUUUUCCAACCCUCCCCCCACCAACCCUAAGUUUCCUUUCAGAGGUCAAACUAGAGAUGUGGUUUAAUUCCAUCAAUCUGUCAUUGACUGACUCAUUCAUUCAAGGUGUACUGGGCUGGAAGGGAGCACUGGGUCAUCUGACCAAAUCCUCCUAUCCAGCAUCCAUGAGCUCUUUGAUUCUAGGAAACGAAAUUGACUCUAGCUAACUG